rnacentral:rRNA from 1 species
CCUACGUGCGGCAGCAGUGGGGAAUAUUGCACAAUGGGGGAAACCCUGAUGCAGCGACGCCGCGUGAGUGAAGAAGUAAUUCGUUAUGUAAAGCUCUAUCAGCAGGGAAGAAAAUGACGGUACCUGAGUAAGAAGCCCCGGCUAACUACGUGCCAGCAGCCGCGAUAAUACGUAGGGGGCAAGUGUUAUCCGGAUUUACUGGGUGAAAAGGGAGCGUAGACGGCAGUGCAAGUCUGGAGUGAAAGGCGGGGGCUCAACCCCCGGACUGCUCUGGAAACUGUACGGCUGGAGUGCAGGAGAGGUAAGUGGAAUUCCUAGUGUAGCGGUGAAAUGCGUAGAUAUUAGGAGGAACACCAGUGGCGAAGGCGGCUUACUGGACUGUAACUGACGUUGAGGCGCGAAAGCGUGGGGAGCAAACAGGAUUAGAUACCCUGGUAGUC